UACGUAGGGGGCUAGUCGUUGUCCGGAAUCAUUGGGCGUAAAGAGCGUGUAGGCGGCCCGGUAAGUCCGCUGUAAAAGUCAAAGGCUCAACCUUUGAAUGUCAGUGGAUACUGCCGGGCUAGAGUCCGGAAGAGGCGAGUGGAACUCCUGGUGUAGCGGUGGAAUGCGCAGAUAUCAGGAGGAACACCGGUGGCGAAGGCGGGUCUCUGGGCCGAUACUGACGCUGGAGGAGCGAAAGCGUGGGGAGCGAACAGG
rnacentral:rRNA from 1 species